AAGCACAAACAAGCUGAAGGUAGAUAAGUUUCGCAAGAACUCAAGAAGUUUCUCCAAGUAGGGGUAGAGUGAGGCUCCCAGUGGUUAGCAGAUGGUGUCCUGACCAGAGCUGAGGGAGUGGAUAAGAGCCAGAGGCUGAGAGAAAGCCCCAAUACUAGAAGCAGAUGGGGCACAGUUGGGGCAAGAAGAAGUGCCCCCAGCCCAAGCCAAGCAUGGUAGCACAUACCUAUAGUCAAAGAACUUAGAAGAUAAACACAAGAAGAUACGGAAUUUGAGGUCCUCAUGAACUACCUAGUACGUUUCAGGCUAGUCUGGAAAAAAAAAUAGUGUCCCAGUCUCUCAACUUGCCCUGUGAUGCCCUGACACUGUCUCCACUUGGACAAACUCAACAUGAAGGCAAGGGUAUGUGGUCCACAGGGACCAGCGUCCAUAUGGAGAGCAAGGUCAAGCAUGGCCCCAGAGAAGAGCAUCAUGUUCUCCCAGGUUACUCCAGCAUCACAGUGCAAAGAAGCAAUCGCCCGCCAUGGAAGGAGACCACUGAGGAAAACAACAGGAUUCAGCCUCAGUCUAGUGACCACAUUUUACCUUGGAUCUCACAUUCCAGUAUGUCAGCGUGCCUGGGGGACCUGAAGCAACCACACUUCUCUUAUCAACUUUGUCCAGCCUACCAAAAGUGGCCCAUGAAGCUUCCACGAUUUGCCCCUUGGAAUUAGGGCAUUGAGUGAAUUGAUCUUGGUUGAGCACCUAUGAGACCCAGUACCAAUCUACAGCACAUCCAAUGUAGCUUGACAGUUAAAUACACUUGCUUGGAGAUUAAAAGUGAGAGGUUCAAUGGUAGAUCACUGGAAUGGCAGGUUCAAAGCCCGGACUCCAUCCUAACCCUAGAAAAUUUAAAAAAAAAUCAACUCAGUUUGGAAGCAGGUCAAUGGGGAGGGCUCGGCACAGAGACAUUCCAUCAUCUCCCAGGGAAGAUGUGGCAGAUGGAAAACGGGGAUCACCAGAAGUAAGGGGUUUCCCAGGGACUCUCCUAGUGAUGACUUUUGAACCCAACCUAAAGUCAGUUAACAGCCCACUGCACACCGGACGGCACCUUUCCCAUCAGAAGCCGCCAUUGUUUUGAAGAGGCAUAGACAAAUGCAUCCUAUAGUCUUAUAUGUCCAGUGAUUAUUGCUUCUUUAUCGUGGACAGAUGUGCCUGGGUAGGGGCCUGGUGGCCUCCUUGACUGGCAGUUACAAGAAUCAUUCAGAAAGAAGGAAGAUGGCAGAAACCGGAAGUGCAAUGUUAACACAAGGGGACCGGGCUGAAUUCGUCUUGUCCUUUUAUUAUAACUAAUAGUGGCAGGGACUUGAGUAGGGGCCUCAGGAGCCCUACCCAUGAGAUAGCUACCCCUCAUAUCCUGGCCUCCAAAGCUGAAAGAUGACCCUGCCUCACCUACAAGACCUUGGGACACUGUCUCUGCACUCAGAAAUCUAGGCUCUGGGAAGUCAAUGCUGAGAUGUUGGAAAUGAACUUGGAUACAAACUAGACCGGUCUUUGAGCCCUGAAGAGAAUCUUUUCUAUGUGACAGUGAGAACUUAAUCUUGCAGACCUCAGUUUCCCCAUCUAUGAACUCCUGACGUCGGGUGCACUGAGGUCAUGUGUUUGAGCGGGGAAGGGAACACGGCACCGAGGAAGCCAAAGCUGUGGUCUCCUGCCAGCUCAGGCUAGGGAUAGCUGAGCACACCGAGUUCUUUAGACAGACUCGAGGCUGGCUCCUGUCUGGCCUCGGAGCUCCCUGGCCAGGGUUUCCUGUUGUCCUCCUUUUAGUCCUUUCAGGGGAGGAAGCGUCUUUCUCUGGAGACCUUUGUCCUGAGCGCAGCCCUGGAAUGCUGAAGGCCAUCCACUUCGUGCUGAGUGUGUUGAACCACUUUCUGGGUUUAAGAAAAUAUAUUAUUGUUUACCUAACAGUU
rnacentral:lncRNA from 1 species